CCGUGUUAGCUCAAGCAAGCGGUCAUAUGGACAAGAUCUACUCCAACAAUCUUCGAGAAGUCAUCGGGAUUUGCGUAUCGUGAUCACUUAAGUAUUCCUAUCUUUAAGUGCAUUUUGGGAAAUUCCUGUUGAGGAUAUGCAUACCUAAUAAUAGGGAAGUGUUUCCUCUAAUGUUCUUUGGAUGAGAAUAGCGCAAGGGAGACCGUGCGAUUGCCAGAUCUUAAACCAUCUAGGUUGGGGUAGAGAACUCGUCAUUCACAAUAACGAAUCCAUCAUCCACAAUUACAGAUGGGUCGUCGGUGUUUAUCAGUCGUCGCUGUGCGCUCAUCGUCUUGGAAUGUAUCCAUGGAAUUCUGGCUCAAAUGCCAAGGCCCUCAGCAUCUAAAAUUACGACAAAGGAUGGUAAAAAUUUUUGAGAACGAAUUUGGCUUCCUCAAGCUCAAUCUUAUGUGUUGUUCAACACGCUCAUCAAACCUCCAACACAACAUGCUUGAAGAGCUUUUAUAAGUUCAAACCGAAGAGACAGACAACCUCAGUCGCCACGAAGAGGAGAAGGAGCAGCAUGUCUCUUUCCCAAGACGAAGUGGUGGCAAUUGGGACAGUGAUUGCGCCUAAGGAAAAGAAAAAGAAGCAGUCAACAUGGACAAAGGACUGGUUAUUUAUUAAAAGGGUACCAAAUUUCUCAUACCAACAUUAUGAAAAAGCUGAAACUCCAGCUAGAUGUUUGGCGUAAUUAUAUGCGCAUGGAUGAGACGACAUAUUUAGAGCUUUUGAAUUUGGUCAGUCCAUUCAUUACUCAUAAAAAACACCGUUAUGAGGAAAUCCAUUAGUGUGGCCAUUUAGAAUCUUAAUAAAAUAAUGUUGUAAU